rnacentral:rRNA from 1 species
UACGGGAGGGGGCUAGCGUUGUUCGGAAUUACUGGGCGUAAAGCGCGCGUAGGCGGUUCUUCAAGUCAGAGGUGAAAGCCCGGUGCUCAACACCGGAAUUGCCUUUGAAACUAGGGAACUUGAAUCCAGGAGAGGUGAGUGGAACUGCGAGUGUAGAGGUGAAAUGCGUAGAUAUCGUUUGGAACGCCAAUGGUGAAAACAGGUUGCUGGGGGAUGUGCUGACGCUGAGACACGAAAGCCAGGGGAGCAAACGGG